rnacentral:lncRNA from 1 species
AGUUUCCCUGUCAUUUCUCAGACACAAUUUCAUAGCAAAUUUCCUGGCUCUUAAAAUAUCUCUGGCGACUUCCGUGUUUCUGAGCCUUAGCUGCAGAAGUGUGUUGUCUGUGUGUAUCUGUUGGGGCGGGGUGACGCAUGGUUACUUUUUCUCCUACAUUCGGACUACCUGUGGUUCUCUGGGGUUGAUUACCAUCUGUUGCAAAGGUAAGUUUUUUGGAUGAGAAACUAGAGCUACAGUUACGUGUGGGUUAAGCAUAAGUAUUUAGCAUUUAGCAGUUAGAAAGCACUAUGAUUUGUUAAAGUUUCAGGAGUAGCCUCUCUUCUAAGAUCUGUGACCGUUCUAACCCCAGGGAACUUGUGACGUUUCCAGCGCCAGGUAUGCUGUCCUUCUCUUGAGUAGGCCUUAAGACUCAUUAGAGAGCUGUUGGUUCUUGCCAAGUUAUGUGCCUCUGUUUGCCUCUGCUGUGCCCACAGGAAUACCUUGCCAUGCAGGUCACUGCUGUGGCUCGUAGGCAUUACCACCGUGUAGCACUGUUGGUUGCUUCCCGCUCUUGUAACCUGGCACAGCACCUUCUAGUGCUAUGGAAGCUAGUCCUCAGGGAGGAGACUUUUGGGUCAGAUCCAGUUCAGAUCUUCAAGUCCAAUCAAAAAUCCUCAUGUCAUUUUUCACAAAAAUAGGGAAAAAAAAAAACUAUCCAAAAAUUAAUAUGGAAUCACAAAACACCCUGGAUAGCCCAAGAAACCUGAGCCAAAAGAACAGUGCUGAGGGAUUAUAAUUUCAGAUUUCAGGAUGUAUUGCAGAGCCAUAACAAUAAAGCCAGAAGCAGUGUAUAGUAAUGGCACCAAGUCAUACGUGUAGAUUAUGAAAGCAAAAGAUCUGAGCAUGAGUGGGUGGGACUACAGAGAAGCCAAAAGACACUGGAGAAAAGAGAUGUGUAGCAAAUGGCGGCAGGGAGACUUGAGUGUCCCAGUGUCCCAGGCCAAAGAGUGAGAAUGGACCUGUAUCCGUCUCUGUACACAAAAUCUGACUCCAAGUGGACGAGAGUACGCGCUAGAGUAAAGCAUGCACACUAACCUCCAAGGUGCAGUGUGGAGACGGCUCAGGGCCGGCAGCCAGCGCCGACGAGGGCUUCACAGCACUGAGAAACCCUCUGUGGCUAAAGAAACAAGCAGUCCAGUGAAGAGGAGACACGGAACGGGGAAGACCUUCCAGCUGUCCACUCAGAAUCCAUAAAGAACC